CCCGUUCCCAUGCCGAACACGGAAGUUAAGCUCUUCAGCGCCGAUGGUAGUUGGGGGUUUCCCCCUGUGAGAGUAGGACGUUGCCAGGC
rnacentral:rRNA from 1 species